rnacentral:rRNA from 1 species
GGGGGGACCACCCUCCAACCCUAAAUACUACCCAGUGACCGAUAGCGUAUAGUACUGUGAAGGAAAGGUGAAAAGCACCCCGGGAGGGGAGUGAAAAAGAACCUGAAACCCUGUGCCUACAAGCACCUAGAGCACGUCAAUGUGUGAUAGGGUACUUUUUGUAGAACGGUCCGGCGAGCGAUUGUAUGCAGCAAGGUUAAGGACUUAAGGUCUGGAGCCGAAGCGAAAGCGAGUUUGAAAAGGGCGUUAAGUUGCAUACAAUGGGCCCGAAACCGGGUGACCUACCCAUGGUCAGGUUGAAGUGGAAGUAAAAUUCCAUGGAGGACCGAACCGACCUCCGUUGAAAAGGCGGCGGAUGAACUGUGGGUAGCGGAGAAAUUCCAAUCGAACCCGGAGAUAGCUGGUUCUCCCCGAAAUAGUUUUAGGACUAGCCUCAAGUUAGAUACCUGGAGGUAAAGCACUGAAUAGCCUAGCGGCCGAGAGGUUAGCGAAGCUUAUCAAACUCAGAAUGCCAGAGUAUUGAUGCUUGGGAGUCAGACAGUGUCAGAUAAAUGUCAUUGUCAAAAGGGAAACAGCCCAGAUCUACAGCUAAGGUCCCAAAGUCAGGUUAAGUGGAAAACGAUGUGAAGAUACGUAGACAACCAGGAUGUUGGCUCAGAAGCAGCCACACAUUCAAAGAGUGCGUAAUAGCUCACUGGUCGAGCGUCUUUGCGCGGAGAAUUUAACGGGGCUAAACCUGACACCGAAGCUUAGGCAAUACAGCAAUGUAUUGGGUAGGGGAGCGUUGUAUACGCGGUGAAACAGUAGCGCAAGCGGCUGUGGAGUGUAUAGAAGUGAGAAUGCCGGAAUGAGUAGCGCGAAUGCAGUGAGAAUCUGCAUGGCCGAAAGCCUCAGGUUUCUGGAGGAAGGUUCGUCCGCUCCAGGUUAGUCGGGAGCUAAGGUGAGGCCUAACGGCGUAGCCGAUGCACAGACGGUAGAGAUUCCGUCACCACCAAAAGAGUUAAGCACAGGGACACAUUUGAAGUCUCGGAGCCGGGUGUUGGUUCCGGUAGCGAUCGAGGGAAGUUAGUACCGAAGUCCGGGAUGGAAGAUGGCGAGAAAAGCUGUGUGUAUUUCUGCGGUGCCCGUACCGCAAACCGACACAGGUAGGUAGGAAGAAGAUUCUAAGGCCAACGGGAGAAGGGUUGUUAAGGAACUCGGCAAAUUGACCCCGUAACUUCGGGAGAAGGGGUGCUCCAGAGAUGGAGCCGCAGAGAAUCGGCCCAAGCAACUGUUUACCAAAAACACAGGUUUGUGCUAAAUCGAAAGAUGACGUAUACGAGCUGACGCCUGCCCGGUGCUGGAAGGUUAAGAGGAGAUGUGCAAGCAUUGAAUCGAAGCCCCAGUGAACGGCGGCCGUAACUAUAACGGUCCUAAGGUAGCGAAAUUCCUUGUCAGGUAAGUUCUGACCCGCAUGAAAGGCGUAAUGAUUUGGGCACUGUCUCGACAGCCCGCCCGGCGAAAUUGUAGUACCGGUGAAGAUGCCGGUUACCCGCGACAAGACGGAAAGACCCCAUGGAGCUUUACUGUAGCCUAAUAUUGGGUUUCGAUGUUGCAUGCACAGGAUAGAUGGGACACAGGGAAACAAGUGCUUUGGCAUUUGUGGAGUGGCCGUUGGGAUACCAUCCUUGCGAUAUUGGAAUUCUAACCUGCGCCUUUGAAUCAAGGCGGGGGACAUUGUUAGGUGGGCAGUUUGACUGGGGCGGUCGCCUCCUAAAGAGUAACGGAGGCGUUCAAAGGUUCGCUCAGCUUGAACGGAAAUCAAGCAAAAGAGUGCAAACGCAGAAGCGAGCCUAACUGCGAGACUGACGGGUCGAGCAGUAACGAAAGUUGGAGUUAGUGAUCCGGUGGUAUGUGAGUGGAAAUGCCAUCGCUCAACGGAUAAAAG